CCUACGUGAGGCUGCAGUGGGGGCUAUUGCACAAUGGGGGAAACCCUGAUGCAGCGACGCCGCGUGUGGGAAGACGGUCCUCUGGAUUGUAAACCACUGUCCCCAGGGACGAAGAUGACGGUACCUGGGGAGGAAGCUCCGGCUAACUACGUGCCAGCAGCCGCGGUAAUACGUAGGGAGCGAGCGUUGUCCGGAAUUACUGGGUGUAAAGGGAGCGUAGGCGGGACUGCAAGUUGGGUGUCAAAUCUACCGGCUCAACCGGUAGCCGCACUCAAAACUGCAGUUCUUGAGUGAAGUAGAGGCAGGCGGAAUUCCUAGUGUAGCGGUGAAAUGCGUAGAUAUUAGGAGGAACACCAGUGGCGAAGGCGGCCUGCUGGGCUUUUACUGACGCUGAGGCUCGAAAGUGUGGGGAGCAAACAGGAUUGGAUACCCGUGUAGUC
rnacentral:rRNA from 1 species